GGAAGCGCUUCGCUCUUUUCCUUGGCAGUCCCUGGCUGGGUGCGCCCGGAUCUCGCCUGGUAUCUGUGCAUGGGCUGGGACGGAGCCGAGAUGCUGGAACCACUGAAGCAUGAGCCUGGCAUUGCUCACUUGCUUUCCCCGCAGGGUGAGGAGCUGGUGCCCCUGUCCUGGAGAUUGCCUGCUUCCACCCGCGGCGGAGUCCGGCAGGGCCUGUCUGGAGGCGCCCUUCAGAACCUUGAGCAGUUGCUGAGAUCUCUCGCCUGCUGGAUGGAAUGAAGUAGGCACACAGCAGCUAUCCUGCAAGGGAUCUCUUGCUAAAUGAAAGAGGCUGAUGCUGCCAAGGGGAACUAAUGGACUGGCCAGUCAGUCUUACCACCUAGCGGAACAUGAUCGUGUCUCCCAAGGGGCUGGAACUCCGGAAAGACCCAUGGACGGGCAAAAUCAAAGUGGAACAAAGAGCCAAGAAACUUGAGCUGGGACUGGACUGUCCCCUCCAACUUUCAGUCCCUCUUAAAAGCGACGUUUCUGCUUCCCAAAGAGAACGCUGCCCUGCAUAGAAAAUCUGUUCCUCCUCCCUUCUCUCUGUCUGCCUGUUUUUAGGCUGCAAGCUCCACAGGGCAGGGGCCCAUCCCUUCUCUUGCAUAUGAAAAUGUUCUAGCACUACUCUCCCAUCAUGGGAAAUUGUAACACAAGGACUGUCCUUUCCAGAGUUUGCGUUCUUAGUAAAAACUCCCCUGUAUAGGGAAUCUGGAAAUAAAACAUCAGGAAAUAAUAAAUGCAGCAGUCAAAGAAA